AUUGAACGCUGGCGGCAUGCCUUACACAUGCAAGUCGAACGGUAACGGGCCUUCGGGUGCCGACGAGUGGCGAACGGGUGAGUAAUACAUCGGAACGUGCCCGAUCGUGGGGGAUAACGAGGCGAAAGCUUUGCUAAUACCGCAUACGAUCUACGGAUGAAAGCAGGGGACCGCAAGGCCUUGCGCGGACGGAGCGGCCGAUGGCAGAUUAGGUGGUUGGUGGGAGAAAAGCUUACCAAGCCGACGAUCUGUAGCUGGUUGGAGAGGAUGAUCAGCAACACUGGGACUGAGACACGGCCCAGACUCCUACGGGAGGCAGCAGUGGGGAAUUUUGGACAAUGGGCGCAAGCCUGAUCCAGCCAUGCCGCGUGCAGGAUGAAGGCCUUCGGGUUGUAAACUGCUUUUGUACGGAACGAAAAGCCUUCUUCUAAUACAGGAGGGUCAUGACGGUACCGUAAGAAUAAGCACCGGCUAACUACGUGCCAGCCGCCGCGGUAA
rnacentral:rRNA from 1 species